GCCUACGGGGGGCAGCAGUAGGGAAUCUUCCACAAUGGGCGCAAGCCUGAUGGAGCAACACCGCGUGAGUGAAGAAAGGUUUCGGCUCGUAAAGCUCUGUUGUUGGAGAAGAACGUGCGUGAGAGCAACUGUUCACGCAGUGACGGUAUCCAACCAGAAAGUCACGGCUAACUACGUGCCAGCAGCCGCGGUAAUACGUAGGUGGCAAGCGUUAUCCGGAUUUAUUUGGCGUAAAGCGAGCGCAGGCGGUCGCCUAGGUCUGAUGUGAAAGCCUUCGGCUUAACCGAAGAAGUGCAUCGGAAACC
rnacentral:rRNA from 1 species